AAAGGCGAGGGAGCGGGGAGGCCGGAGGAGCUGCCGCUGCCGCGCGCCAUGACGGACGCGGCCGAGUCAGCUUUCUCUCCGCCGACGCGGCCGAGCCGUUGCUCUCGUCGCGCCCCCCGCCCCCGCCCCCAUGUCCGUUCUCCCCCUGUCCCCUACCCCCGGCGCUCGCGCGUCCACGCGUCCCCUCCCCCCGGCUCCUCAGGCGCGCGUCGGGCCUGGGGCGCGCGCCGGCCGGGAACGGGAGCGGGCGCCACAGGGUGGGGGCUGCGGCGGACGAUCGGGCGGCCUCCCCGCGCGACCCCCGGCGCCCUCGGCGAGGGCCCGCCAGAGGAAACCCCAGAACCGGGCAAACCAGCACUUACUCAGCAUAUCCCCCUCCCGUAGGACUCAUUGACCUUGGUGGCACCAUGGAGUAUUGCUUGUACACCCUACCACAGACGAACAGCUGGUUCUGGAUGACGGUUUCAGAGUGUGGGAACCGGGCAGAAGGGCAGUGGCGCCGGGACGAAGUUAGCCCGGGAGAGCAGCAGCGCUGCCUUGAAGAAACCUGGUAUUUACAAGGAUAAGAUUACACAAUAAAUUAAAUAGUGGUUAGCUACGUUAUUACGUGAGAAUUCCGUAUUUUACAAAGAGGGCUCACUGAAAGUUUCCUUCCAGUAAGUAAUGCCUUUUUUAUGAUACUUAUAAAAUGUGAUUUGACUUAACAAAAAAGCGGUUGGCACACAGCAAUUUCGGAACAUAUUUUUGGCAUAUUGCAUGAUUUAUUAAUGUGUUUCUUGAAUUAUCUUUUUCCCAAAAGCGUUUGGGGGCAAAAUUAUAGUAUUAAUGGACUUCGUAAAAGCAAAGUUCUGUUACUUAUGUGCGACCUAUUAAUGUUUUAACUGAAUGGGAAAAUUAUCAUCUGAUUUGUGCUUUACCAUUUAAGGAGUACAUUGAAACCUAAUUAAAAUGCCAGAAUUUUAUGGCCAAGUUUGUCUGGAAACCCAUCCGAGGUAGUUGAGUUACUGAGGUAUCAAAAGCACCUUGUUACAAGAUACUCUCGCUAGGAUGGUGGUCCUGCAGCAUAGGCCGGCAAGGGGCUGUGCCCAGACUACAGCAAAUUUAAAGUAAAUAGAUUUGGUCCAAAGUCCACAUGUAAUGCAAACCAUUACCUUG